rnacentral:rRNA from 1 species
GAUGAACGCUGGCGGCGUGCCUAAUACAUGCAAGUCGAGCGAACGGACGAGAAGCUUGCUUCUCUGAUGUUAGCGGCGGACGGGUGAGUAACACGUGGAUAACCUACCUAUAAGACUGGGAUAACUUCGGGAAACCGGAGCUAAUACCGGAUAAUAUUUUGAACCGCAUGGUUCAAAAGUGAAAGACGGUCUUGCUGUCACUUAUAGAUGGAUCCGCGCUGCAUUAGCUAGUUGGUAAGGUAACGGCUUACCAAGGCAACGAUGCAUAGCCGACCUGACAGGGUGAUCGGCCACACUGGAACUGAGACACGGUCCAGACUCCUACGGGAGGCAGCAGUAGGGAAUCUUCCGCAAUGGGCGCAAGCCUGACGGAGCAACGCCGCGUGAGUGAUGAAGGUCUUCGGAUCGUAAAACUCUGUUAUUAGGGAAGAACAUAUGUGUAAGUAACUGUGCACAUCUUGACGGUACCUAAUCAGAAAGCCACGGCUAACUACGUG